rnacentral:rRNA from 2 species
GAGUUUGAUCAUGGCUCAGAAUGAACGCUGGCGGCAGGCCUAACACAUGCAAGUCGAACGGAGUUAUAUUGUAGCUUGCUAUGGUAUAACUUAGUGGCAGACGGGUGAGUAAUGUAUAGGAAUCUACCUAGUAGUACGGAAUAAUUGUUGGAAACGGCAACUAAUACCGUAUACGCCCUACGGGGGAAAAAUUUAUUGCUAUUAGAUGAGCCUAUAUUAGAUUAGUUAGUUGGUGAGGUAAAGGCUUACCAAGACAAUGAUCUAUAGCUGAUCUGAGAGGAUGAUCAGCCACACUGGAACUGAGAUACGGUCCAGACUCCUACGGGAGGCAGCAGUGGGGAAUAUUGGACAAUGGGCGAAAGCCUGAUCCAGCCAUGCCGCAUGAGUGAAGAAGGCCUUCGGGUUGUAAAGCUCUUUUAGUGAGGAAGAUAAUGACGGUACUCACAGAAGAAGUCCUGGCUAACUCCGUGCCAGCAGCCGCGGUAAUACGGAGAGGGCUAGCGUUAUUCGGAAUCAUUGGGCGUAAAGGGCGCGUAGGCGGGUUAGUAAGUUAAAAGUGAAAUCCCAAGGCUCAACCUUGGAACUGCUUUUAAAACUGCUAGUCUAGAGAUUGAAAGAGGAUAGAGGAAUUCCUAGUGUAGAGAUGAAAUUCGUAAAUAUUAGGAGGAACACCAGUGGCNNA